AUCGCGAGGGUAUCUAUUCUGUUUGCUCCCCACGCUUGUUGGGCAUCAGUGUUCUCCAGGAGGCUGCCUUCGCCAUCGGUGUUCCUCCGCAUAUCUACGCAUUUCACUACACUGCAUGGAAUUCACCUCCUCUGACGCUCUGGCUCAAGUGGUUAAAAUACAGUUCCAAAAGUUAAGCUCUGGGUUACGUCUUUCUUUCAGAACCGCCUGCGCACGCUUUGCCAGUACCUUAAUUCCGAUUAACGCUUGCCUGCAUGCUACCGCGGCUGCUGAAGCGUAAGUUAUGGGUGCUUAUUUCUUUUAAUUACCGUCAGUUACCCAAGGUGUUAUCCGUGCCGUUUCUUUCCUGCCAGAAAGUGCUUUACCCAGCCCGAAGGUAUUCAUCACUUUGCCCGGGAUGGCUGGAUCGGGGUUUCCCCCAUUGUCAAAAAUUCCCAUGCGCGCGUGUUGUGA
rnacentral:misc_RNA from 1 species